GCGAGAGCAAUUUGCACACCCAACAGCAGCAUAGCCUGACCUCAAACUUCUUUUCUUUGUAGGAAGCCCUGUAGCAGUCCCGGAGUGAUGGGACUCCCUGCCUGGCCUGAGAUACCCAGUUAGCACCUGCGAAUCAGAAUUUCCUCUUCGCAGCAAUAAAGCAUCCAGCCUUUGCAUCUGUGACAGCCUCCCCUGUAAUUUAUGCAUUCUAUGGUGACGGUUAAGCUUAUCCCUCUCCUCGUCUCACAUACCUUAUGGAAGAUGUCUUUGCUAUCUGCAGCUGUCAGGAGGAUGUGGAGUAGGGAGUAUGGCUCAAUGAAUACACAAAUGUGCAGCUGGACCACAGCCCCUUCCAGAAGGUGGGUGGAAUAUAAAUUAUUGAACUUGUACUUCUCAAGGAACUGGCUGCCAUUGGAGGGCUUCUAUACACAAGGAACUGGAAGCAAGUGAGAAAAGUCCCAGUGGAAAUAGGUCCUGCAAUAUUUGGAGAGGUUGGCUAAGACAGG
ensembl:lncRNA